CAAAAAAAAAAUAGACGCCCAAAAAUCUGAAGGAGUAAAAUACACUCUGAAAAGGGACUGAAAAAGCUGCGCAGCUUUUAACAAACGACCCCACCCCCAGUCAUCGUCUUCUGAAAUUCACCCACCGCUCAGCUUCUUUUUGGACCAGAUGCACACACACAUACAAACAGAGAUAUGGAAUUUCAGUCCGAAAAAUCGAGUGAACAAUAGUGAGAACAGAUCUGGGACGAGCCGAAAACAGGGUCAAAACCUUUCCGAUUCCAAGCGAGGUUCAGUUGCUGAAGUUCCGGUGGCGAUUUGGUCUGUGUUCGGGUUUAUUUUUCUUCGAUUUUUAUUCGCGUUUCAGGUAUGAAUUUUCGAUUCGAAAUGCUGUAAUCGUCAUUGGGUGCUCUAUUAGGAUGAAAUGUGUAAUAAUUUUUCCUUUGUGUCUCUGAAAAUUUCAUUGCUCAGUCUCUUCUUUCUCUGUUUUAUUUCGUUGCUUACAUGUUGAUUCGAUGCCUCAGUUUUGGCUACUGUUCAUUUCUGCGAUGUUACUCUCGUGGUUUUGAUUGAAAUAUGUGGCUGACCUGUUCUUCUUGUUGGUUGAA